rnacentral:rRNA from 1 species
GGGAGGUAGUGACAAUAAAUAACAAUACAGGGCUCUUACGGGUCUUGUAAUUGGAAUGAGUACAAUUUAAAUCUCUUAACGAGGAACAAUUGGAGGGCAAGUCUGGUGCCAGCAGCCGCGGUAAUUCCAGCUCCAAUAGCGUAUAUUAAAGUUGUUGCAGUUAAAAAGCUCGUAGUUGAAUUUCGGGGUUCUUCCGUUGGUCAGGCUAACCAGUCUGCACUAGCGUGUAGAAUCUCUACCUUCUGGGGAACCAUCAUGUUAUUAAUUUAGCGUGGUGGGAAACCAGGACCUUUACCUUGAAAAAUUA